AUUGAACGCUGGCGGCAUGCCUAACACAUGCAAGUCGAACGGCAGCACAGUAGGUAGCAAUACCUAUGGGUGGCGAGUGGCGGACGGGUGAGUAAUGCUUAGGAAUCUGCCUUGUGGUGGGGGAUAACUAACCGAAAGGUUAGCUAAUACCGCAUACGCCCUUACGGGGAAAGCGGGGGAUCGAAAGACCUCGCGCCAUUAGAUGAGCCUAAGUCCGAUUAGCUAGUUGGUAGGGUAAAGGCCUACCAAGGCGACGAUCGGUAGCUGGUCUGAGAGGACGGCCAGCCACACUGGAACUGAGACACGGUCCAGACUCCUACGGGAGGCAGCAGUGGGGAAUAUUGGACAAUGGGGGAAACCCUGAUCCAGCAAUGCCGCGUGUGUGAAGAAGGCCUGCGGGUUGUAAAGCACUUUCGGUUGGGAAGAAAAGUUUGGCGCUAAUACCGCCGAACCUUGACGUUACUGACAGAAGAAGCACCGGCUAACUCUGUGCCAGCCGCCGCAGUAA
rnacentral:rRNA from 1 species